GAACCCCCGAAGGCCGAAACCACCAGACAGACAGAUCUCUCUAUCUCUCUCUCUCUGCUUUUAUAAUAGUCAUAGUUUUCGUCUACAAGUCAAAACCAGCGCUAGCCUCAUAAAACCAGCUCGGAUAAUCGUAAAGAAGUCGUAUUUACUGCUUUUGCCACUCCGGCUACGCACAGCCACCUAAUUUCUUGAGACAUAUAUACAUCACAUUCAUAUUUCUCGGAGAUAGGAAGAGAGGGAGAGAGCGAUCGGUCAGAUUGUUGAGAUUUCUUUUCUUCGGAGGAAUUGACUGAAAAAUGGCGCAGAAUAAUUUUCUAGUCGAGGUAGAGAAGGGCAAGGAGGCCAACGAUAGGAGGCCGUCGAUGGGGCCGGUUUACCGCAGCGUUUUCGCCAAGGAUGGAUUUCCUCUUCCGAUUGAUGGAAUGGAUAGUUGCUGGGAUGUUUUCCGCAUGACUGUUGAGAGAUAUCCAGAAAAUCGGAUGCUUGGUCGUCGUGAAAUUUUGAAUGGAAAGCCCGGUAAUUACGUGUGGCAAACGUAUAAAGAAGUAUAUGACUUAGUAAUUAAAGUUGGAAAUGCAAUGCGAAGUUGUGGUUUUGGGGAAGGAGCAAAAUGUGGUAUUUAUGGUGUCAAUUGUCCAGAGUGGAUUAUAAGCAUGGAGGCCUGCAACGCUCAUGGGCUAUAUUGUGUCCCUUUAUAUGACACUCUAGGUGCUGGGGCCGUAGAAUUUGUUAUAUGCCAUGCAGAGGUUUCUAUUGCUUUUUCUGAAGAGAAAAAGAUUUCUGAGGUGUUGAAAACCUUUCCUAACACAACAGAGUACCUCAAAACACUUGUGAGCUUUGGCAAGGUUACACCUGAACAAAGAGAGGAAGUUGAGAAGUUUGGGUUGGCAAUAUAUUCGUGGGAUGAAUUUUUGCAACUGGGUGAUGGUAAGCAGUUUGAUCUUCCAGUGAAGAAGAAAAGUGACGUGUGUACUAUAAUGUAUACUAGUGGAACUACUGGUGAUCCUAAGGGUGUAAUGAUAUCCAAUGAAAGCAUCAUUGCUCUUUUAGCUGGGGUGAAGCGCCUGCUAGAGAGUGUCAAUGAAAAAUUGGAUGAGAAUGACGUAUAUCUGUCAUAUCUUCCUCUUGCGCAUAUCUUUGAUCGGGUGAUUGAGGAGCUAUUUAUUUUAACUGGUGCCUCGAUUGGAUUCUGGCGUGGGGAUGUCAAACUUUUGAUUGAAGACAUUGGGGAGCUAAAGCCAACUAUUUUCUGUGCCGUCCCACGUGUGUUAGAUAGAAUUUACUCGGGUUUAAAUCAGAAGGUUUCCUCUGGGGGCUUCUUGAAGAAGACAGUUUUCAAUUUUGCCUAUGCACAUAAGUUUCGUAACAUGAAGAAGGGAAGCAAACAUGAACAGGCAUCUCCAAUUUUUGACAAAUUUGUCUUUAGCCAGGUGAAGCAAGGGCUUGGAGGUAAGGUACGCCUUAUUCUUUCUGGAGCAGCACCUCUUUCCACUCAUGUAGAAACUUUCCUACGAGUGGUGGCAUGUGCUCAUGUUAUACAAGGAUAUGGUCUGACGGAAACUUGUGCUGGGACAUUUGUCUCACUGCCAAAUGAACUGUCUAUGCUUGGUACAGUGGGCCCUCCAGUACCCAACGUGGAUGUGUGCCUAGAGUCUGUUCCCGAAAUGGGAUAUGAUGCCCUUUCAAACACACCACGAGGAGAAGUAUGUGUAAAAGGAAAAACAUUGUUUUCAGGGUACUAUAAACGUGAAGACCUCACCAAAGAGGUCAUGGUUGAUGGGUGGUUCCAUACAGGGGAUAUUGGUGAGUGGCAACCAGAUGGAAGCUUGAAAAUCAUUGACCGCAAGAAGAAUAUAUUCAAGCUUUCCCAAGGAGAAUAUGUUGCCGUUGAAAACUUGGAGAACAUUUAUGGUCUUGUCACAGCUAUAGAUUCGAUAUGGGUCUAUGGAAACAGCUUUGAGUCCUUCCUUGUGGCUGUUGUGAACCCCAACAAGGAAGCACUUGAGCGUUGGGCUGAAGAAAAUGGUGUCAAUGGGGAUUUCAAUUCUGUCUGUGAAAGUCCCAGGGCAAAAGAAUACAUUCUUGGGGAGCUUGCGAAGAUUUCUAAAGAAAAAAAGUUGAAAGGUUUUGAGUUUAUUAAAGCUGUUCACCUUGAUCCUGAGCCAUUUGACAUGGAACGUGACCUUAUCACUCCAACCUAUAAGAAGAAGAGGCCCCAGUUGCUUAAAUAUUAUCAGGUCUUUACUCGUCUCUCUCUCUCUCUCUCUCUCUCUCUCUCUCUCUCUCUCUGUGCGACGUGCUUUGUGUGAACUUCCCAAUCACUAACGGAGUAUUUUUUUAACCGGCUAAAUCCUGUUACGAUGAUCCAGUCUCAAUUAAAGUAGCAGACAUGGCUUACAAUAAUGUUGUGGUCAUAGGCUGAGCUGUAUGUCAUAGAUGUAGCCCUUGUAACAAAUUCAUGAUUCAAGGUGUUGAUGUGGUGAUGACCUCACCCACCUAUAUGUGGGUCCUUUGACUUAUUCAAUGUAGUGAGUUGAAAGGUGAAGGCUGAAAAUUAUUUUCAUUCUUGCGUGGGCUGUCCAAUCAGAAGGUUGGAAGUUUGGUUACAUUUACGAUAGCUAUCAAGCAAGAAGUCAGCAUGAUGCCUCUAGAAACCAAAUAUUAGAAUUUCUAUUCAUUAUCUUUUCCCACUUGGUUGUGGUCCUUUUGACUCAUUCCUGCCAAUAUACCCAAAGUCUUGGCAGUAUUAAAGUUUCCUGCUGAUUUUCUGUUUAGUUGUUUUAAGCCUAUGCAUUAUUUCUUCAAUCAAUAUAUUGUAUGCCAAGUCACAGUAAAGGAGGGAUCAUUGAUGAGAUUGUUCGUUUAUAUUUGAUAAUAAAAGAAAAAUCCUUGGUGGUGAAGCUACUGACAUGAUCUCUUUGUUGCACAGAAUAUCAUCGACAACA